GGCGUUGUUCCAAUUUGAUCACCCAAAAUUUUUUAUUCCCGGAAAAAACAAAGAGCUCUCACUUUGGCGAAGAGUUAAUGGAGUCCUAACUCAGUCACUCUCAGCAAAGUACUAAUAAAACUGGGAUUCAUUCAUUAAUGUCAAAAUCAGGAACUUGAAUACCGGGAUUCGUAUAUUCAAUUCUUAACGGACCGGCCCUAUUUGUAUGGUGAAGAACACACUAGAUGAGAUCAACUGUCUGAAAAGAAAAUGCUGCAUGCUGUCUGAAUCUCAAUAUGUGAGCAUGGAGAAAAAGUAACUACAAGAUGAGAAUUCGGCUCUGGAUGCUCAAAUUGGGAAACUGCAAUGUGAACUCAAGGUGAGGGUCUGGUCUGCAACUCGACCUGAAUGUAGCCCCACCUGAAUGUGAACUUCAAGAACUGGAAUCGCGUAUUGGUGAUGAUCAUCAUCAUAGAUUGCCUUGUGUGGAACCAGUUGUUGAUCCUUUAUAUCUCGUCCCUGUCUGCUCAAAUACUCGAGCUUAUCAAGAGCCUGCUAUGGCAGAACUUGCAGGUAAGCCUAACCACAUCCUAGAUAUCCUACUGCAGCAGACAUAUGGCCAUCCGAUUUCUUGAAAAUCAACUGGAGUUAGGCGUGGAAUUUGGAUAAAAGUGGAUGUACAGGACAGCAGGAGGAGGGCUUUUUGACAAUGGAAACUAUAUAAACUACAGUUAUACUCAAGUCUAGUCUCCUAACAAACACAUCUUUCAUCACCUAUCUGUACAUACAUUCGACCUUUUUCCUAAUGUAUAGUUAGAGAUGAUGGAUUUUACCUUAAUUUUAAGGAAGAAUGGUUCUAAAUCUUUGGGGAAAUAAUAUCAUUUGUCCUCAA